UACGUAGGGGGCAAGCGUUGUCCGGAUUUAUUGGGCGUAAAGAGCGUGUAGGCGGUCAGGUAGGUCCGUUGUGAAAACUCGAGGCUCAACCUCGAGACGCCGAUGGAAACCAUCUGACUAGAGUCCGGAAGAGGAGAGUGGAAUUCCUGGUGUAGCGGUGAAAUGCGCAGAUAUCAGGAAGAACACCCGUGGCUAAGGCGGCUCUCUGGGCAUGAUCUGACGCUGAGGAGCGAAAGUGUGGGGAGCGAACAGG
rnacentral:rRNA from 1 species